rnacentral:rRNA from 1 species
UACAGAGGCCUCGAGCGUUAGGCGGAAUCACUGGGCUUAAAGCGUGUGUAGGCGGACUUCUAAGUACCUUGUGAAAUCCCACGGCUCACCCGUGGAACUGCUCGGUAUACUGGUCGUCUUGAGCCUUCUAGGGGCGAGUGGAACAAAUGGUGGAGCGGUGAAAUGCGUAGAUAUCAUUUGGAACGCCAAUGGUGAAAACAACUCGCUGGGGAAGUGCUGACGCUGAGACACGAAAGCCAGGGGAGCGAACGGGA